rnacentral:lncRNA from 1 species
GAUGUGAUACCAUCAAAUACCAUUGCAUUGCACUAUGAUAACAAUGGUACUAUAGCCCUUGUUAAAAUGUCCAGAUCUCAUCAGAAGUUUAAGCAUAUAGAGCGACAGUUUCACAUCAUAUGCGAAUAUCUUAAGAAGAAGUUCAUUGAGGUAUAAAGAGUCGACUCUGUGCUAAAUGUGGCAGAGCCACUGACCAAACCUCUUAGCUAGCAGA